rnacentral:rRNA from 1 species
GAUGAACGCUGGCGGCGUGCCUAAUACAUGCAAGUCGAGCGAACGGACGAGAAGCUUGCUUCUCUGAUGUUAGCGGCGGACGGGUGAGUAACACGUGGAUAACCUACCUAUAAGACUGGGAUAACUUCGGGAAACCGUAGCUAAUACCGGAUAAUAUUUUGAACCGCAUGGUUCAAAAGUGAAAGACGGUCUUGCUGUCACUUAUAGAUGGAUCCGCGCUGCAUUAGCUAGUUGGUAAGGUAACGGCUUACCAAGGCAACGAUGCAUAGCCGACCUGAGAGGGUGAUCGGCCACACUGGAACUGAGACACGGUCCAGACUCCUACGGGAGGCAGCAGUAGGGAAUCUUCCGCAAUGGGCGAAAGCCUGACGGAGCAACGCCGCGUGAGUGAUGAAGGUCUUCGGAUCGUAAAACUCUGUUAUUAGGGAAGAACAUAUGUGUAAGUAACUGUGCACAUCUUGACGGUACCUAAUCAGAAAGUCACGGCUAACUACGUG